rnacentral:sRNA from 1 species
ACAUAUUAUGUCGUAAUUUCGACAUAAUAUGUCGUUAUAACGACAUGUUAUGUCGAAAUUACGACAUAGCGAUGUCGUUAUAACGACAUAUUAUGUCGAAAUUACGACAUAGCGAUGU